rnacentral:misc_RNA from 1 species
UUUUUUUUUUUUUUUAAUUUCAUUGACAUUAUGGAAUUGAGCAAUUGCAAGAUCAACGUAGAGACAGUAUGAGAGUUAAACAACAGGAAUAAAAGAAAGCUAACAAGGCAGGCGCACGAGUUGCACAAACGAAGGUACUUAUUUUGCAAAAGAUAGAAAAAAUGGCCGAACUCUCUGCAUUUUUUUACAUUCCUUUCAACAUGGGAAUUGUGACAAACAGCAUUAGGAUUGACUUUGGCUUUAAAGGGACAAUCCUGAGUCGUCAUCCUCAUCCAGGGUGGAAGUGUAAACAAUGUAGAAGGCCCAAAUCAGACCGAACACACCCAACAGGAUCCAACCAAGAAGGUUGUUGCUCAAACCAAAGGGAAGUCCUGUUCCUUCAGUGCUCAUUCUCACGUCCACCAGAGCCAGGGUUGGGCUUGACAUGGUUGCAGCACCCAC